rnacentral:rRNA from 1 species
UACAGAGGGUGCGAGCGUUUAAUCGGAAUUACUGGGCGUAAAGCGCACGUAGGUGGCGACGUAAGUCGGGUGUGAAAGCCCCGGGCUCAACCUGGGAAUUGCAUUCGAGACUGCAUUGCUGGAGUACGGAAGAGGAGGGCGGAAUUCCCGGUGUAGCGGUGAAAUGCGUAGAUAUCGGGAGGAACAUCAGUGGCGAAGGCGGCCCUCUGGUCCAGUACUGACACUCAAGUGCGAAAGCGUGGGGAGCAAACAGG